rnacentral:rRNA from 1 species
UACGGGGGGAGCAAGCGUUGUUCGGAUUUACUGGGCGUAAAGGGCGCGUAGGCGGCCACCGCAAGUCGACUGUGAAAUCUCCGGGCUUAACCCGGAAAGGUCAGCCGAUACUGCGGGGCUAGAGUGCAGAAGGGGCAACUGGAAUUCUCGGUGUAGCGGUGAAAUGCGUAGAUAUCGAGAGGAACACCUGCGGCGAAGGCGGGUUGCUGGGCUGACACUGACGCUGAUGCGCGAGAGCUAGGGGAGCGAACGGG